rnacentral:lncRNA from 1 species
UUGCAGGCAGCUUCCAGCCAUGCACCGUCUGGCCGGUGAGGCAGGCAGCAGUUCUGGGGAGCGGAGCAGGCCUCAGCUCUGAGCAGAUAGGGAAGGCUUUGUUAACUAUAAGUAGGAGUGGAGUGCUCAAGUCCCUGCUGCAGCUGCAGGGGAUGUGCCAGCUUCAUUAGAAAAACCACAGUCAGCAGAAGGAGGAUGGGUGAUCCCGAGUCUCGAGUCUCGGUCUGAACAGUGAGAAUAGGUGCAGGUACCACGGGGAAAUGUUUGCCUGUUUCCCGCGCAGUGGAAGGAAGCUGCCUUGUGCGGAAGUGUGAAAUCUGGAUAGCAGCACUUAUGCAUUACAAUAGAUAACAAAAAAUGAAAGGUUGUAGGCAUGACCAAGUCAGGCUCUGAUGGUCAUCAGUAAGCAUAGAAAGGUUCAUGUUUGUGCAUAUGAGAGGCUCACAGAAUCACAGAAUCACAGAGAGGUUGGCAUUAUGCAGAACUGAGGAAAAUGAAUCCAUGAAGCAGAGACAAGCAGAAGAGUCCAAGGUUGCAGUCAGGGAAUUGCUGGCCUCCUAGAGCAGAACAGGUAUGGAUGCAUUGAGACAAACUGAAAAAGUAAUUGAGCUCCAUGUGUUGCACAGCAGCCGACUGCUGCUGCCAUUUGGCAGUCUGUGCAGCUGACUGAAGGAAGGCUUUGAGCCCACUCACCAGCUGGCUUUUAAAAGGAAGAGGGCGAGGGAAUCCCUUCUGAUGUUUAAUACUAAUAUUCACUGGUACACUUCAAAAAGUGCCUAUCAGCAUCUGAAAGGUAGAGCAAGUUAACUCUCUGCCUACCUGAUAUUAGAAAAGCUGUGGGUAAGUGAGGUUGGAAUAGGUCUUAUGCAUCUCACACAUCGGGAUUUGUCCUGGGUGAUACUGGGAUCUUCUUCUCUACCACCUCCAGCUCUGUGGGUCUGAGUGUAGGCUGUGAGACAGCUUUAGCAUGUUGUGAGCAGCGACCAAGAGCAAUCCCCCAGCAUGAGGGCAGCUCUAUGCCAAACCAGGCAGCCUCUGCUCAGGUCUCCUUCAG